UGGGGAAUCUUGCGCAAUGGGCGAAAGCCUGACGCAGCAACGCCGCGUGCGGGAUGAAGGCCUUCGGGUUGUAAACCGCUUUCAGUGGGGACGAACCAAGACGGUACCCACAGAAGAAGCCCCGGCCAACUACGUGCCAGCAGCCGCGGUAACACGUAGGGGGCAAGCGUUGUCCGGAUUCAUUGGGCGUAAAGAGCUCGUAGGCGGUUCGAUAAGUCGGGUGUGAAACCUCCAGGCUCAACCUGGAGACGCCACCCGAUACUGUUGUGACUAGAGUCCAGUAGGGGAGCGUGGAAUUCCUGGUGUAGCGGUGAAAUGCGCAGAUAUCAGGAGGAACACCAGCGGCGAAGGCGGCGCUCUGGGCUGGAACUGACGCUGAGGAGCGAAAGCGUGGGGAGCGAACAGGAUUAGAUACCCACGUAGUCCCUG
rnacentral:rRNA from 1 species